rnacentral:lncRNA from 1 species
UUCGCCACAGAUAAUAUCUAUCAACGUACCAAUAGUGCAAGAGAAGAUAUGAUUAAAAGAUAGUGAUUUUGGUGGCAAAAGAACAGCUGCAGAGAAAAUGAAAACAUGUAUGAAAGUAUGAAGAGAGAUAUUGAGAUUGCGUGUGGAAACGAGGAAAAUGAAUGAAAAGAGAGAGUUAACCACACAAACAAAAGGAAAAUCAAAUUUUUAAACCAACCCACUUACACACAGCUCGGCUAUCACGGCUCAUUCCAAAGCGUCUAGGCCUACAUGGCCAUUCAGCUUAUGAACAUUAGCCAUACGUACUCUUUUAUAUUUACUACUAGUGAAUGCACGUGCAACGCAUUAGUGGGUGAUGUAGUGUAAGAAAUAAUGUUGAAAUUCGGUUGUGGUACUUCAACGAAAAAUGAAACUUAUUAGAAGGAUGAUUACAUUGAAUUAUAUAAAAUAUGUGUUCACAGGUACUAACAUUGGCGGUGGUAAUAUGAAGUAAAAACCAGAGCCUGACAUGUUUAUAUGUAUAAUGAACAAAAUCAAGUAUGGCAAAUAGAGAUGAUGUAGAAUCUGAGUUGAGAGAUGCUAGGGCUCGAACCCGGACCACGUUCUGCUCAAGGCAAUGGAUGACCAUCAAUUACUGUUAGGUGAGGCAGAAAUUUGACAAGCUUGGAAAAGGAAAAUUAAGUUCACCAUUUGAGCAUAUAGUGCACAAGAACAAUAGAUUUGGAUAUAAAAUACAUUAACGAUAUUGAAAUGGUGUUCCUCUUUCAAAAGAAGGGUAUAUCUACAUGUUUAGAAUCCAAUUUUAUACAUGUUUUCAUUUAUAUAUUCUGGAAGUUGCUACAUUUGAGACUUAAAAAUAUUACAACUUGAAUGAAUUAAAUCUAGCAAUCUCGUUUUCAAAUGAAGAAAGAGUUUGAGAGGACAUUAUGUGCUCUUAAUUUAGAUUAAAAAAUUGAUAAACAGAUGUUUAAAGUUAAUGAUUUUGAUUUAUUGUGGAUCAAAGUUUCAAAUAAAGGAACUUAAACUAUGUGAGAAGAUUUACCUUAGGAUCCAUUAACCAAAUGUGUUGGUAAUUCAAUGGACUAUUCCGAGCUUUGUUGAGAGAGCAUUUUUCUGAAACUACUGCUCUACAAUCCAGCCAGACUCUCCAGGUUUGAUGUCAGGUAUGCGUUUGUGUUAUGUUGCCAUUUCUAUCUGCAAUGAAUUCUAUUUGAUUAGUAGAUGAGAAUGGUUAGAAAUAGAAGGGUUAAAAUGAAACAUAGAUAUUGAAAGAUAUAUGUAAUGAUGUUUUUGAAAUUGUUUGCUGUUAAUGUAUACUGUUGGGUGAAAGAAACGAAAUUACCAGGAUGAAGUUAGAAAUGAGCAAAUGAAGUUGGAGAAGACAAACCGUGUGAAGAUUUUCUUUGGUGUCUUAUAUGUUGAGAGAUGAGGUGGCAGUGGAAAGAAAUGAUGAAAGUUUAGAAUGAGUGGUGUGAAAUUUAGAUUUCUAUUUGAAUACAGACUGGAAAAUGUUUAGUGGCAGGCAAGAAUUUUUGUUUACUAUUAUAAACAAAAAAUUUUAGGGAAUGGUUG